UCCCCUUUACCCAUUGUAGUGCCUCUUAUUUCACUGUCUGCUGUCUGUCCUCAGCGCCAAAGGAAACUGUGAUCCAUAAUUCCCGGUGCUGCCCAGCCUGCAGUAAAACUGCUCAGUGUGAAACGUAAUAUGCAAAAACUUUUUCUCUCUUUUUUGUUUUUAACUUUUUUUUUUUUUUUUAAAUCUUUUUGGCAAGCUCUGGAAAAAGGCUUGUUUCCUGGCAGGAGAAAAAGCCAGCCUUGGCUUCAAGCAGCCACUGACAAUUCCCAGCAUAUGGUAAGAGAGGGAGCUUCCGCCUACCCCAUCAGAGGAGAUCAGACUAAAGGCCCCAAGUUCCAGCUUCCUGCGUCUGAAAGAAGCUAGGUCAGGAUUUUGCAAAAAGGACCAAGAAAUCAAUUUUGUGACCCAUUGAUAAGGACCUUACAGAUGGGGAAGUUUCUUUCACAGCCUUACAUUCCUGCUCACCUUAGCCCUUGGACGUAUUGAUGGGAAUCCCAAAUAGAAGGAAUUUACCUGGUGCUAAUUUGGGUACCACAGGGCUUAGCCUGUGGUACAUAUAUCUGAAAGCUACUUUUAGAAGACAUUUUGGAAGACAUGAAGCCUAUAUACUUCAGACAAGAAGCCUAAUAACUUGGGGCACAGACCAGCUGAAAAUCAAUUCCACAUGUUUGAGGCUUCUGUACUGUAGCUGAUAAGGUAGAACCUGGUGUUUCAACAAAAUUUUUGUAAUAACCAUUGACAACAAUACAGAGACUGUGAUUAUGUAAAUGAUGGACUAAACUUGUAUGAGCAUAACUGUAGCAAUGAAAUACUUUACACUAAUUUUUGAGGACAUUUAUAUGUUGGUGCUUGCACAAGGUGUGGGCUAUAAGGCCACUAUC